rnacentral:rRNA from 1 species
GAUGACGCUAGCUACAGGCUUAACACAUGCAAGUCGAACGAGUGGCGGACGGGUGAGUAAUGUCUGGGAAACUGCCUGAUGGAGGGGGAUAACUACUGGAAACGGUAGCUAAUACCGCAUACCAUCGGAUGUGCCCAGGUGGGAUUAGCUAGUAGGUGGGGUAACGGCUCACCGAGGCGACGAUCCCUAGCUGGGCUGAGAGGAUGACCAGCCACACUGGAACUGAGACACGGUCCAGACUCCUACGGUAGGCAGCAGUGGGGAAUAUUGCACAAUGGGCGCAAGCCUGAUGCAGCCAUGCCGCGUGUAUGAAGAAGGCCUUCGGGUUGUAAAGUUCUUUCAGCGGGGAGGCGUUACCCGCAGAAGAAGCACCGGCUAACUCCGUGCCAGCAGCCGCGGUAAUUC